CCUACGGGAGGCAGCAGUGGGGAAUAUUGCACAAUGGGGGAAACCCUGAUGCAGCGACGCCGCGUGAGUGAAGAAGUACUUCGUUAUGUAAAGCUCUAUCAGCAGGGAAGAAAAUGACGGUACCUGAGUAAGAAGCCCCGGCUAACUACGUGCCAGCAGCCGCGGUAAUACGUAGGGGGCAAGCGUUAUCCGGAUUUACUGGGUGGAAAGGGAGCGUAGACGGCAGUGCAAGUCUGGAGUGAAAGGCGGGGGCUCAACCCCCGGACUGCUCUGGAAACUGUACGGCUGGAGUGCAGGAGAGGUAAGUGGAAUUCCUAGUGUAGCGGUGAAAUGCGUAGAUAUUAGGAGGAACACCAGUGGCGAAGGCGGCUUACUGGACUGUAACUGACGUUGAGGCUCGAAAGCGUGGGGAGCAAACAGGAUUAGAUACCCCAGUAGUC
rnacentral:rRNA from 1 species